rnacentral:snoRNA from 1 species
GACGAAAAUGAUGAAUCUGGGGGUACUGAGAUUUCUGUCACCUGAGGAGGCGAUCCAUUUCCUGAUUCACC